AAGAAUUCGAAGACUCGUCAGAACAGUAAGUGAAUUCGGUGGUGAUCGUGUCGUUAGAUCUGCUCUUCUGGGAAGUUGUGUGUGUGUGUGUGUUCGCGUGCAUAUGUGCGAGUUGUUGCUGUCUGCAGGAGGCUUGACGGAAUAAGUUCGAUGUUGCUGAGAGCCGUGACUCUUUAGAAGCUCAACUUACCUUCCUCCACACAGACGUUGGUAACGUAGAUUUCAUAGCUUCGCGGAGACAGGUCUCUUUAUGUAACUUAAAACUCGCAUGCAGACUCCCUUUCAAAAUGAUAGGCAGAUUGGAUACUGCUUCAGAGUAGUUGGCUGCGUAUGAGAAAAUUUGACCACAUUUGACCUAAGCUGAAGCCUUCAUUGUCCUCGAGCCUUGUUAUGAAGACUUGCCAUUGAGACAGUGCUGCUAUUUUAUCGAAUUUGGUUAUUUUAAAUGUAUUUAAUGGAAUAAACUUAGAAGCUGCGGAACUAGCUAAGUUAUAUUAAAAACCGGAUACUAAUGUAACUGCUACCAUGAAUAAAAAAAUAAAAAGCUAAUAUUUUUGUUUUUGACUUGUUACUUUUUGACUUGACUAAGGUAAAUGUAACGCUUUGGGCUUAAAACUUGAGCUUAUUUGACAUCGAUAAGCCUGCAGUUGUAAGUUUGGCUCAUGAAUUGUAAGUAGUAUUAAUUUCUUGACAGUAAUUUCUUUACUGUAAUGCAAAAUAUUUUGUCUAAUCUAUUAAACCUGCUGAUAUAGUAAUUUCUUUGAAAAGAAUUACUUUAAUGCUAAAUUUAUUCAGAUACAUUAAAACCUAAUUCCUAGCUGAGGUUUGUAAAACUGGAGCACUAAACAUUGGUUUAACCUAAAACUUAAUUCCUAGACUUAAUUCUUAGCGGAUAUACUAGCUGAUAAACUAUUAUUAAAUGAUGGGUUAAGUCUUGUUUAGUUAUAUUUUGAACUGAAAAUUUAACUUGCCUAGUCAGAUGAGCCUAAUUAUUAUGCCCCGUCCACACGGUCGAGCUUUGGUCGACAACUUAGUCCGAUGUGACGCCAGAAGCGGAGAAACUGCGAGAAAAGUCGGAACUUUGCCGCAGUUUCUCCGCUUCAGACGUCACAUCGAACAAAGAUCGUCGAGCAAAGCUCGGUCAUGUGGACGGGCCUUAAUGUUUGCCUAAUGAGAAUAAAAUUAAUAUUCCGGUGAUUUUUAAAAUAAAGCUUCUUUAAACAAUAUUCAGUGGUGCAAAUUUAAUUUCUGCAUGCCUUUGAACACGAGAGAGAUCCUGUUCCUUUCAGUAUGGAAGGCAAAACUGGUCUUGGUUAAACCUAGGACAGGCAGUGGUGGAGUUUUGAGUGUAAUUAUUCAGCUCUUGUCUUUGUUUAAAAGCUAUCCCAUCUGGUUAAUUGAGUAAUAUCCAUGGAAUUUAAUUAAGAUUAAAGUAACUUAAAAGAAUGGAGUUUAGUAAAAUUCUAUAAAUUUUAAACUUUCAAGACUUUACUUU